rnacentral:rRNA from 1 species
GGCCUUAAGAAAUAACAGAAUUUAAGGUCGGGCUUGCCCGGUGGUUGACGGAUUAAACGGCCGCAGUUAAGAGCUGUGUUAAUGUAGCGCAAUAAAUUGUCCUUUAAUUGGGGAAAGGAAUGAAUAGUUUGACGUGAUUCUGACUGUGUCAGUGACAAAGUGUGAAAUUUUCUUUUAGGUGAAAAGCCCUAAAUUAAAUUAAUAGACGAGAAGACCCUGUCGAACUUGAUUAGUGUUUAAGAACGAUCUUAAUUAUGAAGUUUUGCUGGGGCAGCAGGGAGUUAUAAAGAACACUCUCUCUUUUUAGAAGUAGAUCCAUUAGGAUUGAUAGGAUGAAUAAGUUACCGCAGGGAUAACAGCGCAAUACUUUUCUAGAGAGCGUAUUGGGGAAAGUGUCUGCGACCUCGAUGUUGGAUUAAGGUACCUUUAGGCGCAGAAGCUAAAUAGUAGACUGUUCGUCCUUUGAAACCUUACA